rnacentral:rRNA from 1 species
CCUACGGGAGGCAGCAGUGGGGAAUAUUGGACAAUGGGCGCAGGCCUGAUCCAGCCAUGCCGCGUGUGUGAAGAAGGCCUUCGGGUUGUAAAGCACUUUUGUCCGGAAAGAAAAGCUCUCGGUUAAUACCCGGGGGUCCUGACGGUACCGGAAGAAUAAGCACCGGCUAACUUCGUGCCAGCAGCCGCGGUAAUACGAAGGGUGCAAGCGUUACUCGGAAUUACUGGGCGUAAAGCGUGCGUAGGUGGUUUGUUAAGUCUGAUGUGAAAGCCCUGGGCUCAACCUGGGAAUGGCAUUGGAUACUGGCGAGCUAGAGUGCGGUAGAGGGUAGUGGAAUUCCCGGUGUAGCAGUGAAAUGCGUAGAGAUCGGGAGGAACAUCUGUGGCGAAGGCGACUACCUGGACCAGCACUGACACUGAGGCACGAAAGCGUGGGGAGCAAACAGGAUUAGAUACCCUGGUAGUCCACGCCCUAAACGAUGCGAACUGGAUGUUGGGAGCAAUUAGGCUCUCAGUAUCGAAGCUAACGCGUUAAGUUCGCCGCCUGGGGAGUACGGUCGCAAGACUGAAACUCAAAGGAAUUGACGG